GAUGAAGAACGUAGCGAAAUGCGAUACGUAGUGUGAAUUGCAGAAUUCAGUGAAUCAUCGAAUCUUUGAACGCACAUUGCACCUCUCGGUAUUCCGGGAGGUAUGCCUGUUCGAGCGUCAUUUGUACCCUCAAGCUCUGCUUGGUGUUGGGUGUUUGUUCCGCCUCUGUGUGUGAACUCGCCUCAAAACAAUUGGCAGCCGGCGUACUUGUUUCGGAGCGCAGCACAUUUUGCGAUCCAGAUCAACGUACAGCGGCAUCCAAGAAGCCUUAUUUAACGCACUUGACCUCGGAUCAGGUAGGGAUACCCGCUGAACUUAAGCAUAUCAAUAAGCGGAGGA
rnacentral:misc_RNA from 1 species